rnacentral:rRNA from 1 species
AGAGUUUGAUCCUGGCUCAGAGCGAACGCUGGCGGCAGGCCUAACACAUGCAAGUCGAGCGGCCGUAGCAAUACGGCAGCGGCAGACGGGAGAGUAACACGUGGGAACGCGCCCUUCGGUUCGGAAUAACUCAGGGAAACUUGGGCUAAUACCGGAUACGCCCUUACGGGGAAAGAUUUAUUGCCGAAGGAACGGCCCGCGUCCGAUUAGCUUGUUGGUGAGGUAACGGCUCACCAAGGCGACGAUCGGUAGCUGGUCUGAGAGGAUGACCAGCCUCACUGGGACUGAGACACGGCCCAGACUCCUACGGGAGGCAGCAGUGGGGAAUAUUGGACAAUGGGCGCAAGUCUGAUCCAGCCAUGCCGCGUGGGUGAUGAAGGCCCUAGGGUUGUAAAGCCCUUUCAGCGGGGAAGAUAAUGACGGUACCCGCAGAAGAAGCCCCGGCUAACUUCGUGCCAGCCGCCGCGGUAAUAC